UACGUAGGGGGCAAGCGUUGUCCGGAAUCAUUGGGCGUAAAGAGCGUGUAGGCGGCCCGAUAAGUCCGCCGUGAAAGUCCAGGGCUCAACCCUGGAAUGCCGGUGGAAACUGUCGGGCUGGAGUCCGGAAGAGGCGAGUGGAAUUCCUGGUGUAGCGGUGGAAUGCGCAGAUAUCAGGAGGAACACCGAUGGCGAAGGCAGGUCACUGGGCCGCAACUGACGCUGAGGAGCGAAAGCAUGGGGAGCGAACAGG
rnacentral:rRNA from 1 species